UACGAAGGGUGCUAGCGUUGUUCGGAAUCACUGGGCGUAAAGCGCGCGUAGGCGGCUUUUCAAGUCAGGGGUGAAAUCCUUGGGCUCAACCCAAGAAUUGCCUUUGAAACUGUAAAGCUAGAGUGUCGGAGGGGAUGGCGGAAUUGCUAAUGUAGAGGUGAAAUUCGUAGAUAUUAGCAGGAACACCGGUGGCGAAGGCGGCUAUCUGGACGACAACUGACGCUGAGGCGCGAAAGCGUGGGGAUCAAACAGG
rnacentral:rRNA from 1 species